CCUACGGGUGGCAGCAGUGGGGGAUAUUGGGCAAUGGGGGCAACCCUGAUGCAGCCACGCCGCGUGGGUGAAGAAGCUCCUCGGCUCGUAAAGCCCUUUCAGCCGUGACGAAAAUGACGGUAGCGUCUAAAGAAGCCCCGGCUAACUACGUGCCAGCAGCCGCGGUAAUACGAAGGGGGCAAGCGUUGUUCGGAUUUACUGGGCGUAAAGGGAGGGCAGGCGGCGAUGGAAGCGAGCGGUGAAAUCCCGGGGCCCAACCCCGGGACUGCCCUUAGAACUGUGUGGCUAGAGUGAGGGAGAGGCAUGCGGAAUACCCGGUGUAGCGGUGAAAUGCGUAGAUAUCAGGAAGAACACCGGUGGCGAAGGCGGCCUGCUGGACAGCAACUGACGUUGAGGCCCGAAAGCGUGGGGAGCAAACAGGAUUAGAUACCCUUGUAGUC
rnacentral:rRNA from 1 species